UACGAAGGGGGCUAGCGUUGUUCGGAAUCACUGGGCGUAAAGCGCACGUAGGCGGAUUUGUCAGUCAGGGGUGAAAUCCCGGGGCUCAACCUCGGAACUGCCUUUGAUACAGCAAAUCUCGAGUCCGGAAGAGGUGGGUGGAAUUCCUAGUGUAGAGGUGAAAUUCGUAGAUAUUAGGAAGAACACCAGUGGCGAAGGCGGCCCACUGGUCCGGUACUGACGCUGAGGUGCGAAAGCGUGGGGAGCAAACAGG
rnacentral:rRNA from 1 species